rnacentral:SRP_RNA from 1 species
GCCGGGUGUGGUGGUGCAUGCCUGUAAUCCCAGCUACUUGAGAGGCUGAGGCAGGAGAAUUGCUUGAACCCAGGAGGCAGAGGUUGCAGUGAGCUGAGAUCGUGCCACUGCACUCCAGCCUGGGCAACAGAGCAAGACUCUGUCUCGA